GACGAACGCUGGCGGCGUGCUUAACACAUGCAAGUCGAACGGAAAGGCCCUGCUUGCAGGGUACUCGAGUGGCGAACGGGUGAGUAACACGUGGGUGAUCUGCCCUGCACUUCGGGAUAAGCUUGGGAAACUGGUCUAAUACCGGAUAGGAGCCAUCUUUAGUGUGGUGGUUGGAAAGUUUUUUCGGUGUAGGAUGAGCUCGCGGCCUAUCAGCUUGUUGGUGGGGUAAUGGCCUACCAAGGCGGCGACGGGUAGCCGGCCUGAGAGGGUGUACGGCCACAUUGGGACUGAGAUACGGCCCAGACUCCUACGGGAGGCAGCAGUGGGGAAUAUUGCACAAUGGGCGCAAGCCUGAUGCAGCGACGCCGCGUGGGGGAUGAAGGCCUUCGGGUUGUAAACUCCUUUCGCUAGGGACGAAGCUUUGUUGUGACGGUACCUAGAUAAGAAGCACCGGCUAACUACGUG
rnacentral:rRNA from 1 species